UCUCUAAUGUCUACAUAGCGUUUCUGACUCUCAGCUUAAUCGGGAGCUUUUCUGUCGUGGCGGUUUCCAUAUUUAGAUGGAGGCGUCUACAAGAGCAGGUACAUCUCCUCGUGCAGCUGGCGUUGGCGGACUUCCUGGCUGCUCUGAUCCUGAUGGGCACCAGCGUCAUGAAUAAAGUCACUAUAGACAGGAGCGUAGAAAUCUGCCAAUACAGCUUGCCUCUGUCUCUGGUAAGGAAAAGUUACCAUUGUGAGCUCUUGCUCCUGGCAGUAAAUCAUUAAUAGCAUUUUGAGUGGACCAAAGUUUAAC